AGAGUUUGAUCCUGGCUCAGAACGAACGCUGGCGGCACGCUUCAUACAUGCAAGUCGCGCGAUUAAAGCCCGCAAGGGUAUAUAAAGCGGCGAACGGGUGAGUAACACGUGGAUAAUCUGCCUUACGGUGGGGGAUAACGGCUGGAAACGGCCGCUAAUACCGCAUGUGGUUACGAGGUCUUCGGGCCUUGUAAAGAAAGGGGCCUUAAAGCCCCGCCGGAAGAUGAGUCCGCGCCCCAUUAGCUAGUUGGCGGGAUAACAGCCCACCAAGGCUUCGAUGGGUAGCCGAGCUGAGAGGUUGAUCGGCCACACUGGGACUGAGACACGGCCCAGACACCUACGGGUGGCAGCAGUAGGGAAUCUUGGACAAUGGGGGAAACCCUGAUCCAGCGAUGCCGCGUGGAUGAUGAAGGCCUUCGGGUCGUAAAGUCCUUUUCUGAGGGAAGAAACGUUUGGCGAGGAAAUGCGCCGAAUUUGACGGUACCUCAGGAAUAAGCAACGGCUAACUCCGUGCCAGCAGCCGCGGUAAUACGGAGGUUGCAAGCGUUGUUCGGAAUAACUGGGCGUAAAGGGAGCGCAGGCGGCUUUGUAAGUCUAAAGUGAAAACCCAGGGCUCAACUCUGGAACUGCUUUGGAUACUGCAAGGCUUGAGUACGUGAGAGGAGAUUGGAAUUCCAGGUGUAGCGGUGAAAUGCGUAGAUAUCUGGAGGAACACCGGUGGCGAAAGCGGAUCUCUGGCACGUUACUGACGCUGAGGCUCGAAAGCGGGGGGAGCAAACGGGAUUAGAUACCCCGGUAGUCCACGCCGUAAACGUUGUGCGCUAGGUGUAGGAGGUAUCGACCCCUUCUGUGCCGCAGCUAACGCAUUAAGCGCACCGCCUGGGGAGUACGCCCGCAAGGGUGAAACUCAAAGGAAUUGACGGGGGCCCGCACAAGCGGUGGAGCAUGUGGUUUAAUUCGAGGCAACGCGAAGAACCUUACCCAGGCUUGACAUCCUAGGACAGCCUAUGAAAGUAGGUUUUCCCUUCGGGGACCUAGAGACAGGUGUUGCAUGGCUGUCGUCAGCUCGUGUCGUGAGAUGUUGGGUUAAGUCCCGCAACGAGCGCAACCCUUGUCCUCAGUUACCAGCGGUUCGGCCGGGCACUCUGAGGAGACUGCCGAUGAUAAGUCGGAGGAAGGUGGGGACGACGUCAAGUCAUCACGGCCCUUACGCCUGGGGCUACACACGUGCUACAAUGGUCGGUACAGAGGGACGCAAGACCGCGAGGUGGAGCCAAUCCCAAAAAGCCGGCCUCAGUUCGGAUUGCAGUCUGCAACUCGACUGCAUGAAGUCGGAAUCGCUAGUAAUCGCGCAUCGGCUACGGCGCGGUGAAUACGUUCCCGGGCCUUGUACACACCGCCCGUCACAUGACCCGAGUUGGGUGCACCCAAAGCCACUGGCUCAACCCGCAAGGGGGGGAGGUGUCCAAGGUGUGUCUGGUGAGG
rnacentral:rRNA from 1 species